rnacentral:misc_RNA from 1 species
ACCAAUCUUGUCCAUUACAGUAAGCUAUAUACAUAAAUAUAUUUAUGCCCUUCUCAAAAUAUGUAUGCCAACCAUGCUUCUGAUAAAAUCUCUUCUGAGCAUUAUAAUGCAGGAGUGAAAGUCUGCCGUUGUUUGCUUAACAGCUGAAGUAGGUUCACUAGUAGUUUGCAAGAUGUAUGAACCAAAUUUGCUGUGUUUAUUGGUGGUAUUUGAGAGGACUUUCAAAUUCUAAGACAAGAUCAAAUAACAGUGAUG